UUAGCAAUGCAUUUACUUCUAUUCACUUGCAAAGAGAAGUGAAUGUGUUGUUAGCU
rnacentral:pre_miRNA from 2 species